CGGGGGGGGCAAGCGUUGUUCGGAAUUACUGGGCGUAAAGGGCGCGUAGGCGGUUUGCUAAGUUGGAUGUGAAAACUCUGGGCUUAACCCAGAGCCUGCAUUCAAAACUGACAGGCUAGAGUUCUGGAGGGGAUAGCGGAAUUCCUGGUGUAGCGGUGAAAUGCGUAGAUAUCAGGAGGAACACCGGUGGCGAAGGCGGCUAUCUGGACAGAAACUGACGCUGUGGCGCGAAAGCUAGGGGAGCAAACAGGAUUAGAUACCCUGGUAGUCCUAGCCCUAAACGAUGGAUACUUGUUGUAGCUGGGAUUGAAUCCAGCUGUGGCGAAGCUAACGCAUUAAGUAUCCCGCCUGGGGAGUACGGUCGCAAGGCUG
rnacentral:rRNA from 1 species